AAGGUUUCCGUAGGUGAACCUGCGGAAGGAUCAUUAUUGAAUGAAUUUGGUGUGGUUGUCGCUGGCCCUCUYGGGGGUAUGUGCACACCUACCAUYCUCAUCUCUCCACCUGUGCACCUCUUGUAGAUUUGGAAUUGAUUAUCCGAGGCAACUCRGUCGUGAGGACUGCUAGCACUUAGCUGGCUUUCUUUGCAAUUCCAGGUCUAUGUUUUUCAUAUACCCCAUUGUAUGUAACAGAAUGUAUCAUUGGGCCCUUGUGCCUAUAAACCUUAUACAACUUUCAGCAACGGAUCUCUUGGCUCUCGCAUCGAUGAAGAACGCAGCGAAAUGCGAUAAGUAAUGUGAAUUGCAGAAUUCAGUGAAUCAUCGAAUCUUUGAACGCACCUUGCGCUCCUUGGUAUUCCGAGGAGCAUGCCUGUUUGAGUGUCAUUAAAUUCUCAAUCAUUAUCAACUUUUGCUGAUAAUGACUUGGAUGUGGGGGUCUAUUUUGCUGGCUUCUCAGWUAGUCAGCUCCCCUUAAAUGCAUUAGCCGGUGCCCCGCGUGGACUGUCUAUUGGUGUGAUAAUUAUCUACGCUAUAGACAUCUGCAAUCAUAUGGGUUUGCGCUGCUUCUAACAGUCUGUUGAUUCAGACAAUACAUGACAAUUUGACCUCAAAUCAGGUAGGACUACCCGCUGAACUUAA
rnacentral:rRNA from 1 species